AAACUGCUUAAAGUUCUUUCUACCGAGAAUGAAUAAUCCUCAACCAGGUUUUCGAAUACAAUGGUCUUUAUUAACAAGUGCGAGUUUGCGCCUUUAUAACUAGGACCAGGACAACUUAACUCCUGUGUUUCUUUUCCUUUGACGUAUAUAACUUUGUCAAAACUGUGAUCCCUGCUACUUGGGAGGCUGAGACAUAAGAAUUGCUUGAACCGAGGAGGCGGAGGUUGCAGUGAGCCAAGAUCAUGACAUUGAACUCCAGCCUGGACGACAGAGCAAGAGUCUGUCUCAAAAAAAAAGAAAAGAAAAAGAUAUUGCUUAGAAAAGUAACUUGAGUCCUGUUGAGCCUAAGUAAAGGACAAUAAUGGAAGUUUCUAGUCUGCAAAAUAUGAAGAUGCCCCUCAGAGACACAGCUGUGGGUGCCUCUCACAAGACAGAUGUUCAGGAAACCUGGGCUGUUGCUCUGGAAUUUUCAAUGAGUUAUUUUACUUGCCUUUGCCUCAGUUUACAGAAAAUAAACUGGCAACAAUAUCUCCUUGUUAUUGUGAGGAUAAAAUAAAAG
rnacentral:lncRNA from 1 species